rnacentral:rRNA from 1 species
CACCGGCGGCUCGAGUGGUGGCCACUUUUAUUGGGUCUAAAGCGUCCGUAGCCGGCUUGGCAAGUCCCCUGGGAAAUCUGGCGGCUUAACCGUCAGGCGUCCAGAGGAUACUGCCAGGCUUGGGACCGGGAGAGGUGAGAGGUACCUCAGGGGUAGGGGUGAAAUCUUGUGAUCCCUGAGGGACCACCAGUGGCGAAGGCGUCUCACUAGAACGGGUCCGACGGUCAGGGACGAAAGCUGGGGGUACGAACCGG